CUAAUAGAAUGUUGGUCAAAAGAUCAACGUUGUUUGUUAAAACCAUAACUAGAGUUUUUUCAUUUUGCCCCACCUAUUCAUUCACUAGUGAAUACAAGCAGCUGUUAUCUCAAACUUACCUUUCUUCAAUUGUUUACUCUUUUCCAAUCUGUUCUCCUUUUCUGAUCUAUUUCGCUUUGGAAACUUAAAACAAAGUGAGACUACUUUGUCUAUCUCUAUUUCCUACACUUGACCAAUCUUCUACUUCAGUUAUCAAGUAUAACUUUCCCAUAAUACCCACUUUUCCAUAGACUCUAUUCUCUUUAGUCUUGCAAGCUUCCCUAUCUGCAAUUCUGUGUGUAUUUGUCUCCCACUGCAUAGUAUGGGCAGACAAUUGAACUGGCAGUGCGUCAUCACAGAGCCACUUUAAAAUUCAGCUUCUUGUAUUAAGCUCCAGAAUUAUAAUAAAUAUCCAACUGCUUGGACCUUGAUAGAAUGAAUAAAGCGUUUCUCCAUAUUCCAUCAUUCUCCUUCAUGCCAUCCACAGUUCUGUAAUGCUUUUUAAUGCAUGAUGUGCAGUAAGAGGACAUCUAGAUUCUGUGAAGCACUUACCCUCUCGAUGGAAAUGAUCUCCCUAACCUGUUCAAUUAUCACGGGUCACCGGGAUGGGAGACGAACACCCACCGAAUAGUG